AUCCCCUCACGCUUAUCUCAAGGUUACAUGGGGUCAACAGCUGGCUACAUUCAUUGUACUCAUUAUAUAAGCUAACUUGUUUACAGACAAAAACAUGCUGAACUAUACUAAACUACAUUUUGGCAGGGUCUGACGAACAAAGUUCAUUGCAUGGCCUUCAACUACACAGCCUGCAUCUUCCGCUCACACUCAGUCUGCCACUUAGCUCCUCGCCGAGCUUCCACAACCUGUCCCCUACAGCAAGCACUGGAGAACAUUGAUAUUCUGGCGGUCCCCAAGUGGAAAUGUGAAUCUCUGUAUAUUUAGGAGUUAUUUAAACAUCUUGUGACUGACCAGCACAUCUCGGGAUGGAGGGGCCUUGUGAAUUACAGAGGUGGCCCUAAUAAAUAUGCUUUGCCUCAGAACAUAACCAACCAUCUGGAGUUCCUACUACUUGAGAAGUUCACUUUUAUCACCAGCCAGUGGUCAAAUCAACAAGAUGCUGAUUUAGCAUAGAGAUGCAAUACAGUUUCCUCACAAGCACCCUGCAUCCAUGCACAGACCCUACUGACUGCCAGCCAUGGAGACUCCUAAUCCAGAGAGACUGCCACCCUCCGUUGUAAUAUGGACUCAUAUAUUUAAGCCAGCUAUGGACCAAACACACUCUGGUUUUGUUUGGACUCAUAACAGCCAAAUAUUUUUGGGACUCAGUUUACAGGCAACACAGGACAGUGCCCAUUUAUAAGGCACGCUCUAUUAGAUGAGAGAGGAAACUGACUUCAUUAGAAUCUAAAAUGAACAGCUCUGUCAAAUGGAUGGUUAAUAUGGAGCAGCAAGUAGAAGAAAUUGAGGUGAAACUCCAAGCAAGAGUUUAGAAAACACAUGGCUAUUGAAGAAAGAAUGUACCAUAAAAUGAUGGGACUUGUGCCAGGAUGGGGAGUUGUGUCCAAUACAUUCGGCAUGGCUUGCUUUCCCUUGGCUUGAACAGGCCAGGAAGUCCAUAACAUGCUGUGAUGGCAGACAGAGGAUACCAGUUGCAUUUCAAUAAAACAAUUUUCCUCAUUGGUGAGAAAUACCAGAGACAUAAAAAGGAUUGCUGUAAAAAUAUGAAUUCAGGAUAAGCUAAGUGGCUCUUAUCCUCCCAAAAGACAUAUGUGUUUGAGUUUUAUAUAAAUCCUGAAAGGAUACGAUUCCCAGCUCAUCCCAUUGUUGAAAGAGAUUACCUUCUGAGAGCUCUGGGCCUUUGGGGAUUAUGGAUCAGAGUCCAGAGAGGGAUGCACCCUGGUGUGAUAUACAGUGUUUAAGGUAUUUGUGCCAGAUAAUAGUGCAAUUCAAACAGCACUUAGUGCUAGUAAGAUUUCUUUUACUUUGGUUUUAGUGAACAUAGAUAAUAUAUUCUUAACUUCAUAUGGUUCCAUUAGCUCUUGAAAUAUAGAAAAGUGUGGAUCCUUUCUCUCCUCCUGGAGCUGGACCACCAGCAAAUGUGACACUCAAGAGUAGUAUUUAGAAGAAGGAACUGCCAUUCCUCUGCUUAACAAUACCUGAGCUGUUCACAAAUUGAAGAUAACAGUGAAAGGUUGCUCCUCCUUCCCUGGGCUCAGACAAAACCACUCAAUUUCCAGCUGGAGCUGUUAAAAGUCAGGCUAAUCCAUUGCUUCACAAUAUUCUAACCAUCCGUGGCACCUCAUGAAUACAUUUCUAUGUAAGAGAACAGUGCAGUAGCCCAAUCCCGGAGAAUUGCAAUGCCUUAGGUAGCUCUCCUGUACAGGAUACUGUGGUUAUCAAUCCUUCUGAUAAGGCUGGAGCAGUUGCUAUUUGGUAUGGAGGCUUGAAUAUUACUGCAUCAUACAUCAAACCUCUUGCACUGCUUUCUGCUGUAGCUUGUUCUAAAGAGCAGAUAAAUUCUCCACUGACAUCUCAAAUGCUAACGAGCCAGAAUUUUUCUCCUGCUUAGGGCUCACCUACACUAUAGUAAGAACUGUGUCAGGGGACUGGCUACAAAGUUGUUUCCAAACAAUCAUUUGGGGAUUGGUUAAAAUAUGAUUAGAUCUCAUAUAGUUUACAAGACAGAACUAUGUUUUAAGUAGGUUGGGUGACAACAACCAUGUUAUAAAUGAGUCUCCUGAUGCAGUUCUUGUAGUAAUGUAGAUAUGCCUUAACUGGGAAAUAAAAAUCUCAACGAAAAAGAGGUAGAUAAAUCUCUCACCUGUUCUCCUGGUGGAGGCAGCAUGGCAGUCUCUUACUUUGAUUCUCUGACUUCCAUGACCUCCAUGAUAUAAAUGUAGCCUUAAUCACCAUUGCUAGAACUGGUGGGAACUUUAAGAAAUAAAGACUAGUUACUACCAGGCCAAUAUGAUUCAGUUUUGCUAUGUAGAAAGAGUGUCCAAAGCUCAUGCCUUCUACUCACUCCCCUUCCAUUAGGAUUUUCAAAAUUAAGCAAAAGAAAAACAUAUAGGGAUGCAUUUUUAAAAGUAACCUUUAAACUUGCAAUACCAAUGCUGUAUGUGCAUUUUUUCACCUCUAUUUUCCAUGAACAAAAGCAGGAUGUGAAAUAAUAUUAGACCAGAAUUGCUGGUGCACAUUUAGCAGUCCCUUUGAAAAUUUGAUCCAUCCAAUCAAAUCCAGUGCUUUCAGUAUGACUGUGAGCCAGUUAGCGCCUCUGGAAGCCAUUCAGUUUCUGCUGUUGGGGUGUAGCUUGGUGGGACCAGAGAAGGUGCCCAAGACUGAUUUUUGGGUUAGGAGGGUGGAAUAGCACAAAUCCAACUGCAGGCACAUUGUACUGGAGGAGGCAUGUUGCAGAGUGGAAAACUUUUCUGCAGAAGGCUGGUACGACAAGGUGUGCAAGACUUUUAGUGAUAAAUGGGAAGAACUUUAUUAGGACAGGGACAUUCCAGUCUAUUCUUAUCCAAAUUCACAGCCAGGAAAAUGUGUCACAGACCAUGAAAUCUCGUCUCCCCCCUUGAAAUCUGGCUAGUGUAGGGGGAUUGUGGUAUUGCCACCCUUAUUGCUGCACUUUCUUCAGAGCUGGGCGACUAGAAAGUGGUGGCUGCUGGCCAGGUGCCCAGCUCUGAAGGCAGUGCUGCUGCCAGCAUCAGUGCAGAAGUGACGGUGGCAUAGUUUUGUGGGGUGGGUCAUUACUUUUUCGGGGGACAGGACCGGCUGUAUGGGUGGGUGACAUGGGCCACCACCCAGGGCACUGUGGUUGGGAUAUGUGUGAGUGUGGUGUGGUCACCCCCACAUACACAUACAGCCAGCCCAAGACCUCUUUAACCCCCAAGCACUGGACCCAGAGCCGGGGAGGGGCAGGGCUAGGGACACCCCUGAUGGGGGCUCCUACUGUGCGCUGGACUCCAGCUGCUAAUCCAGGCUGGGCUGGGAGGGAUGAGACUUCCUUUUCCAUGGCAUGGGCCACUCCCAGGGCUGGGUCAGACCCACCUCUGGGAAACUCCCCUGGCUGCAGGCUGGGAGUGCAGUUCUGAAGGCAGCGCUGCCACCAGCAGCAGCACAGAAGUGAGGGUGGCAUAGUAUGGUAUUGGAGCCCUCACUUCUGCAUUGUUGCUGGCGGUGGGGCAGAAGUAAGGAUUGCAAUACUGCAACCCUCCUUACAGUAGCCUUGCAACCCCCCACAACCCCCUUUUGU